rnacentral:rRNA from 1 species
AAUACAGAUUGAUGGCGACCGGCGCACGGGUGAGUAACGCGUAUGCAACUUACCUAUCAGAGGGGGAUAGCCCGGCGAAAGUCGGAUUAAUACCCCAUAAAACAGGGGUCCCGCAUGGGAAUAUUUGUUAAAGAUUCAUCGCUGAUAGAUAGGCAUGCGUUCCAUUAGGCAGUUGGCGGGGUAACGGCCCACCAAACCGACGAUGGAUAGGGGUUCUGAGAGGAAGGUCCCCCACAUUGGUACUGAGACACGGACCAAACUCCUACGGGAGGCAGCAGUGAGGAAUAUUGGUCAAUGGCCGAGAGGCUGAACCAGCCAAGUCGCGUGAAGGAAGAAGGAUCUAUGGUUUGUAAACUUCUUUUAUAGGGGAAUAAAGUGGAGGACGUGUCCUUUUUUGUAUGUACCCUAUGAAUAAGCAUCGGCUAACUCCGUGCCAGCAGCCGCGGUAAUACGGAGGAUGCGAGCGUUAUCCGGAUUUAUUGGGUUUAAAGGGUGCGUAGGUGGUGAUUUAAGUCAGCGGUGAAAGUUUGUGGCUCAACCAUAAAAUUGCCGUUGAAACUGGGUUACUUGAGUGUGUUUGAGGUAGGCGGAAUGCGUGGUGUAGCGGUGAGAUGCAUAGAUAUCACGCAGAACUCCGAUUGCGAAGGCAG